rnacentral:rRNA from 1 species
GCAGUCGAGCGGUAGCACAGAGAGCUUGCUCUCGGGUGACGAGCGGCGGACGGGUGAGUAAUGUCUGGGAAACUGCCUGAUGGAGGGGGAUAACUACUGGAAACGGUAGCUAAUACCGCAUAACGUCGCAAGACCAAAGUGGGGGACCUUCGGGCCUCAUGCCAUCAGAUGUGCCCAGAUGGGAUUAGCUAGUAGGAGGGGUAAUGGCUCACCUAGGCGACGAUCCCUAGCUGGUCUGAGAGGAUGACCAGCCACACUGGAACUGAGACACGGUCCAGACUCCUACGGGAGGCAGCAGUGGGGAAUAUUGCACAAUGGGCGCAAGCCUGAUGCAGCCAUGCCGCGUGUAUGAAGAAGGCCUUCGGGUUGUAAGGUACUUUCAGCGAGGAGGAAGGCGUUAAGGUUAAUAACCUUAGCGAUUGACGUUACUCGCAGAAGAAGCACCGGCUAACUCCGUGCCAGCAGCCGCGGUAAUACGGAGGGUGCAAGCGUUAAUCGGAAUUACUGGGCGUAAAGCGCACGCAGGCGGUCUGUUAAGUCAGAUGUGAAAUCCCCGGGCUCAACCUGGGAACUGCAUUUGAAACUGGCAGGCUUGAGUCUUGUAGAGGGGGGUAGAAUUCCAGGUGUAGCGGUGAAAUGCGUAGAGAUCUGGAGGAAUACCGGUGGCGAAGGCGGCCCCCUGGACAAGACUGACGCUC